rnacentral:rRNA from 1 species
GACGAACGCUGGCGGCGUGCUUAACACAUGCAAGUCGAACGGAAAGGCCCUGCUUUUGUGGGGUGCUCGAGUGGCGAACGGGUGAGUAACACGUGAGUAACCUGCCCUUGACUUUGGGAUAACUUCAGGAAACUGGGGCUAAUACCGGAUAGGAGCUCCUGCUGCAUGGUGGGGGUUGGAAAGUUUCGGCGGUUGGGGAUGGACUCGCGGCUUAUCAGCUUGUUGGUGGGGUAGUGGCUUACCAAGGCUUUGACGGGUAGCCGGCCUGAGAGGGUGACCGGCCACAUUGGGACUGGGGUACGGCCCAGACUCCUACGGGAGGCAGCAGUGGGGAAUAUUGCACAGUGGGCGGAAGCCUGAUACAGCAACUCCGCGUGCGGGAUGACGGCCUUCGGGUUGUAAACCGCUUUCGCCUGUGACGAAGCGUGAGUGACGGUAAUGGGUAAAGAAGCACCGGCUAACUACGUG